AGCAGCCGCGGUAAUUCCAGCUCCAAUAGCGUAUAUUAAAGUUGUUGCAGUUAAAAAGCUCGUAGUUGAAUUUCGAGAUCAGUACGCUGGUCGUGCCUUCGGUAUGCACUGGUGUCACUGGUUUCUCCCUUCUGAAGAACCGUCAUGCCAUUCAGUUGGUGUGGCGGGGAAUCAGGACUGUUACUUUGAAAAAUUAGAGUGUUUAAAGCAGGCUCGCGCUUGAAUACAUUAGCAUGGAAUAAUGAAAUAGGACGUUUGACCCUAUUUUGUUGGUUUCUAGGAUCGACGUAAUGAUUAAUAGGGAUAGUUGGGGGCAUUAGUAUUCAAUUGUCAGAGGUGAAAUUCUUGGAUUUAUUGAAGACUAACUACUGCGAAAGCAUUUGCCAAGGAUGUUUUCAUUAAUCAAGAACGAAAGUUAGGGGAUCGAAGACGAUCAGAUACCGUCGUAGUCUUAACCAUAAACUAUGCCGACUAGGGAUCGGAUGAUGUUAAUUUUUAAUGUACUCAUUCG
rnacentral:rRNA from 1 species